rnacentral:rRNA from 1 species
CCUACGGGCUGCAGCAGUGGGGAAUAUUGCACAAUGGGCGCAAGCCUGAUGCAGCGACACCGUGUGGGCGACGAAGGCCUUCGGGUCGUAAAGCCCUGUUGUUGGGGACGAAGGGCGAAGGGUUAAUAGCCCCUAGCCUGACGGUACCCUUCGAGGAAGCCCCGGCUAACUACGUGCCAGCAGCCGCGGUAAUACGUAGGGGGCGAGCGUUGUCCGGAAUUAUUGGGCGUAAAGAGCGUGUAGGUGGUUCGGUAAGUCUGUCGUGAAAUCCUGAGGCUCAACCUCGGGCGUGCGAUGGAUACUGCCGGGCUAGAGGAUGGUAGAGGCGAGUGGAAUUCCCGGUGUAGCGGUGAAGUGCGCAGAUAUCGGGAGGAACACCAGUAGCGAAGGCGGCUCGCUGGGCCAUUCCUGACGCUGAGACGCGAAAGCUAGGGGAGCGAACAGGAUUAGAUACCCUGGUAGUC